CUGCAGUCGAGCGGAUUGAUGGGAGCUUGCUCCCUGAUAUCAGCGGCGGACGGGUGAGUAACACGUGGGCAACCUGCCUGUAAGACUGGGAUAACUCCGGGAAACCGGGGCUAAUACCGGAUAAUUCCUUCCUCCUCCUGGAGGAAGGCUGAAAGAUGGUUUCGGCUAUCACUUACAGAUGGGCCCGCGGCGCAUUAGCUAGUUGGUGAGGUAACGGCUCACCAAGGCCACGAUGCGUAGCCGACCUGAGAGGGUGAUCGGCCACACUGGGACUGAGACACGGCCCAGACUCCUACGGGAGGCAGCAGUAGGGAAUCUUCCGCAAUGGACGAAAGUCUGACGGAGCAACGCCGCGUGAGUGAAGAAGGUUUUCGGAUCGUAAAACUCUGUUGUUAGGGAAGAACAAGUGCGAGAGUAACUGCUCGCGCCUUGACGGUACCUAACCAGAAAGCCACGGCUAACUACGUGCCAGCAGCCGCGGUAAUACGUAGGUGGCAAGCGUUGUCCGGAAUUAUUGGGCGUAAAGCGCGCGCAGGCGGUUCCUUAAGUCUGAUGUGAAAGCCCACGGCUCAACCGUGGAGGGUCAUUGGAAACUGGGGAACUUGAGUGCAGAAGAGAAGAGCGGAAUUCCA
rnacentral:rRNA from 1 species